rnacentral:rRNA from 1 species
UGAGACCUGAUGCCGAGCCGAUUGUGGUGAAGUGGAUGAUCCUAUGCUGUCGAGAAAAGCCUCUAGCGAGUUUCAUGGCGGCCCGUACCCUAAACCGACUCAGGUGGUCAGGUAGAGAAUACCGAGGCGUUCGGGUGAACUAUGGUUAAGGAACUCGGCAAAAUGCCCCCGUAACUUCGGGAGAAGGGGGGCCAUGUCUGGUGAUCCGAUUUACUCGGUGAGCUGGGUGUGGCCGCAGAGACCAGCGAGAAGCGACUGUUUACUAAAAACACAGGUCCGUGCGAAGCCGUAAGGCGAUGUAUACGGACUGACGCCUGCCCGGUGCUGGAACGUUAAGGGGACCGGUUAGCUCCAUUUCGGUGGGGCGAAGCUGAGAACUUAAGCGCCAGUAAACGGCGGUGGUAACUAUAACCAUCCUAAGGUAGCGAAAUUCCUUGUCGGGUAAGUUCCGACCUGCACGAAUGGCGUAACGACUUCUCGACUGUCUCAACCAUAGGCCCGGUGAAAUUGCACUACGAGUAAAGAUGCUCGUUUCGCGCAGCAGGACGGAAAGACCCCGGGACCUUUACUACAGUUUGAUAUUGGUGUUCGGUUCGGCUUGUGUAGGAUAGCUGGGAGACUGUGAACUCUGGACGCCAGUUCAGGGGGAGUCGUCGUUGAAAUACCAGUCUGGUCGUGCUGGAUGUCUAACCUGGGUCCGUGAUCCGGAUCAGGGACAGUGUCUGAUGGGUAGUUUAACUGGGGCGGUUGCCUCCUAAAGAGUAACGGAGGCGCCCAAAGGUUCCCUCAGCCUGGUUGGUAAUCAGGUGUUGAGUGUAAGUGCACAAGGGAGCUUGACUGUGAGACCGACGGGUCGAGCAGGGACGAAAGUCGGGACUAGUGAUCCGGCGGUGGCUUGUGGAAGCGCCGUCGCUCAACGGAUAAAAGGUACCCCGGGGAUAACAGGCUGAUCUUCCCCAAGAGUCCAUAUCGACGGGAUGGUUUGGCACCUCGAUGUCGGCUCGUCGCAUCCUGGGGCUGGAGUCGGUCCCAAGGG